UACGGGGGGGGCAAGCGUUGUUCGGAAUUACUGGGCGUAAAGGGCUCGUAGGCGGCCAACUAAGUCCGACGUGAAAUCCCAAGGCUUAACCUUGGAACUGCGUCGGAUACUGGAUGGCUUGAAUUCGGGAGAGGGAUGCAGAAUUCCAGGUGUAGCAGUGAAAUGCGUAGAUAUCUGGAGGAAUACCGGUGGCGAAGGCGGCAUCCUGGACCGACAUUGACGCUGAUGAGCGAAAGCUAGGGGAGCAAACGGG
rnacentral:rRNA from 1 species